rnacentral:lncRNA from 1 species
GGCCACACCCACUCAGGCCACGCCCACCAAGGGCCCAUCCCUCGGCCCCUCCCUGGCUCGACCCCCACUCCCCCCAGGUACUUAGGGUCCACCUCUGUCUUGGGCUUUGGCUCAGGCCGGCAUAGUCCUUUUUCCUCUGCCCUUACUUGCUUCCAGAGUUAAUGAGACCAGAGUUAUUUUUGAGCCCUUCUGGGAAGCUGGGCGUCCUCCCUUCGGGAACCCGUAGGUGCCUUGUGCGUAGGCUGAGCGGGCGCGGGCUGAUUUGGUGCCUGAGCACUCUUCCUCUCCUGUGGGGUCACAGACCACGCACCUUCAUCGUUUAUCUGUGACUCUCAGGCCUUGGGGGCGGGGCCCUGAUGCAAAGGAGAAACGAUCAUCACAGGGGAUUUCCGGAGCUGCUCACCUCGCCACCCGCCAUCCGAUGUGACUCUUUCUCCAUAGCACCCUUGCUGCCAUUUUUUUCUGUCCUGAUUUUAAAGACUAGGACCCUGGGGCUUAGGGAAGCAAGCUGGAACCAGAGCAGGCCCAGAGAGCAGCCGUCUCAGGAAACAGUGGACUCGGGGAAGGAUGCCGUUCUCGAGUUUGGUUGACAUGCUUUAUGUACAAUCAUUCUUAUGACAACAGAAGGGAUAUAAAAAGGCUCGCUUACAGUUUCUUGGAAAUAAUAAAAUAACUUGGAGGGACUCAUAUGCCAAGAAGUUUGAAGAUGAAUGCCCGGCUAUAAAAGAGGACUGGCUUCAUAUUUCAUAAAGCUGCAGCUCAGCUGCCUGGCAGGUGAGCAUCAGAAAGUGGGAUUUUAAGAAUGUUUGAUAAUGCAUGCCGAAGUAUGCAGUUUAUUGAAUAAACAACAUUUAGACCUGAAUGGAAAGAAUGAGCAGUAGAGCAUUUUUCCUUCAAAUACCCUUUCAGGAGCUAAUCGUUUUAAGGAUAAUUGACCAAAACAUCCAAUGAUUAUCCGCUGCUAUGGUCUAGGAAAGAAAGGCAUGUUUAGACUCUGUAGAAAAUGCUACACAUUGGGAUAUCUGGGAGCCAGGGAGACUGAGGCUUUGAGAAAUACUAUAGCUUGUUUAAGGGCUAAAAUAAAACAGAAAAACAGAAUGAGGAAUCAACCUUAGAAGCAGCCAACUUCCAAGUCUGUGCACUGAAGGAACCUAAUUAAAUAAUUGUUUAAAAACUCAUUUGUUCUCUUCAAAUUGUGCUUUGAAUAUAUUUAUAUAACAGAAACCUCCUUUUUAGAAGACUUGGAAAUAAAAGCUCUUGUUACAAAAAUAAACUCAAAAUUUAAAAAGUCCCUCAUUAGACUACAAGAGGAUAUAUUCAUUACAAUUAUUUGCUGAACACUAGUUUUCUCAGUGCUUGCUAAUUUUAAGUAUUUUUGAAAAUAUUUAACAAGACAGAUCUGAAAUUAUGCAUUUAAUUUAUUAUGGCACCAUCUUGACGUUUAAUGUGUUUUCAGCGCCUUUCUACAGCGAUGCUUUAUUUUGGUAUCUUUUUCUUUUCUGUCUAGAAUUAGAAGUUGGGUUAAAAGACACAGAAAUUCAAGGAUCUCCCAGAAUGUUUUAUUCCAGUUCCUUGAGUUGAUUUUUUUAUUUUUCAAUUUUGUGGAGGUG